rnacentral:miRNA from 1 species
CGUGCGUGCGUGCGUGCGUGUGUGUGUGUGUGUGUGUGUGUGUGUGUGUCCCAGCAGCUGAAGCAGCACAGAGACACCGCCCAACCCAG